GCAAGUCGAACGAUGAAGGGGAGCUUGCUUCCUGGAUUAGUGGCGAACGGGUGAGUAACACGUGAGUAACCUGCCCUUGACUCUGGGAUAAGCGUUGGAAACGACGUCUAAUACCGGAUAUGACCUGUGACGGCAUCGUCUGCAGGUGGAAAGAAUUUUGGUCAAGGAUGGACUCGCGGCCUAUCAGGUAGUUGGUGAGGUAAUGGCUCACCAAGCCGACGACGGGUAGCCGGCCUGAGAGGGUGACC
rnacentral:rRNA from 1 species